rnacentral:ncRNA from 1 species
GAGAUUAGGUUUCCCACUGGUUUACCAGGUAAGGCCCCCAGCUAGACGACUGGGUUGAUAGGCCGGAAGUGGAAGAGUCGCAAGACUUGGAGCUGACCGGUACUAAUAGGCCGAGGAUUUAACUAC